CUGCACCUCAAGUGGUGGCCGUUAUUAUUGGGCCUAAAACGUCCGUAGCCGGUUUACUAAAUGCCUGGGUAAAUCGAAUAGCUUAACUAUUCGAAUUCCGGGUAGACUGGUAAACUCGAGAUCGGGAGAAGCUAGAGGUACUCCUGGGGUAGAGGUGAAAUUCUGUAAUCCUAGGGGGACCACCAGUGGCGAAGGCGUCUAGCUAUAACGAGUUUGACGGUGAGGGACGAAGCCCUGGGGCGCAAACGGGAUUAGAUACCCCGGUAGUCCAGGGUGUAAACGCUGCUCGCUUGAUGUUAGUCGGGCUCCGAGCCCAACUAGUGUCGGAGAGAAGUUGUUAAGCGAGCUGCCUGGGGAGUACGGUCGCAAGACUG
rnacentral:rRNA from 1 species